rnacentral:rRNA from 1 species
ACCGGCGUACGGGUGCGUAACGCGUAUCAAUCUACCUUUUACAGAGGGAUAGCCCAGAGAAAUUUGGAUUAACACCUCAUGGUAUUAUAAAAUGGCAUCAUUUAAUAAUUAAAACUUCGGUGGUAAAAGAUGAGUAUGCGUUCUAUUAGCUAGAUGGUAAGGUAACGGCUUACCAUGGCGACGAUAGAUAGGGGUCCUGAGAGGGAGAUCCCCCACACUGGUACUGAGACACGGACCAGACUCCUACGGGAGGCAGCAGUGAGGAAUAUUGGGCAAUGGACGAAAGUCUGACCCAGCCAUGCCGCGUGCAGGAAGACGGCCCUAUGGGUUGUAAACUGCUUUUAUACAGGAAGAAACCUUUGUACGUGUACAAAGCUGACGGUACUGUACGAAUAAGCACCGGCUAACUCCGUGCCAGCAGCCGCGGUAAUACGGAGGGUGCAAGCGUUAUCCGGAAUCAUUGGGUUUAAAGGGUCCGUAGGCGGAUUGAUAAGUCAGAGGUGAAAUCCCACAGCUUAACUGUGGAACUGCCUUUGAUACUGUUAGUCUUGAGUUAUAUGGAAGUAGAUAGAAUGUGUAGUGUAGCGGUGAAAUGCAUAGAGAUUACACAGAAUACCGAUUGCGAAGGCAGUCUACUACGUAUAUACUGACGCUAAUGGACGAAAGCGUGGGGAGCGAACAGGAUUAGAUACCCUGGUAGUCCACGCUUUCGACGAUGGACACUAGUUGUUGGAUUAUUUCAGUGACGACCGAGCGAAAGCAUUAAGUAAUCCACCUGGGGAGUACGUUCGCAAGAAUGAAACUCAAAGGAAUUGACGGGGGCCCGCACAAGCGGAGGAACAUGUGGUUUAAUUCGAUGAUACGCGAGGAACCUUACCAGGACUUAAAUGUAGGAUGCAUUAGGUAGAGAUACUUAUUUCUUCGGACUACUUACAAGGUGCUGCAUGGUUGUCGUCAGCUCGUGCCGUGAGGUGUCAGGUUAAGUCCUAUAACGAGCGCAACCCCUGUCGUUAGUUGCCAGCAAGUAAAGUUGGGGACUCUAACGAGACUGCCGGUGCAAACGGUGAGGAAGGUGGGGAUGACGUCAAAUCAUCACGGCCCUUACGUCAAGGGCUACACACGUGUUACUGGCCGAUGGACAGAGAGCAGCCACUGGGUGACCAGGAGCGAAUCUACAAACCAUAUCAUAGUUCGGAUCGGAGUCUGCCACUCGACUCCGUGAAGCUGGAAUCGCUAGUCAUCGCAUCUCACCCAUGAUGCGGUGAAUUCGCUCCCGGGCCUUGUACAACACCGCCCGUCAAGCCAUGGAAGCUGGGGGUGCCUGAAGUCAGUGACCGCAAGGAGCUGCCUAGGGUAAAACUAGUAACUAGGGCUAAGUCGUAACAAGGUAGCC